UACGUAGGGUGCGAGCGUUGUCCGGAAUUACUGGGCGUAAAGAGCUCGUAGGCGGUUUGUCGCGUCUGCUGUGAAAACCUAAGGCUCAACCUUGGGCUUGCAGUGGGUACGGGCAGACUAGAGUGCGGUAGGGGUGACUGGAAUUCCUGGUGUAGCGGUGAAAUGCGCAGAUAUCAGGAGGAACACCGGUGGCGAAGGCGGGUCUCUGGGCCGAUACUGACGCUGAGGAGCGAAAGCGUGGGGAGCGAACAGG
rnacentral:rRNA from 1 species